rnacentral:rRNA from 1 species
GACGAACGCUGGCGGCGUGCUUAACACAUGCAAGUCGAACGGAAAGGCCCAGCUUGCUGGGUGCUCGAGUGGCGAACGGGUGAGUAACACGUGGGUGAUCUGCCUCUAACUUCGGGAUAAGCUUGGAAACUGGGUCUAAUACCGGAUAGGACAAUCGGUUAGUGUCGGUUGUGGAAAGGUUUUUCGGUUAGGGAUGAGGCCGCGGCCUAUCAGCUUGUUGGUGGGGUAAUGGCCUACCAAGGCGUCGACGGGUAGCCGGCCUGAGAGGGUGGACGGCCACAUUGGGACUGAGAUACGGCCCAGACUCCUACGGGAGGCAGCAGUGGGGAAUAUUGCACAAUGGGCGCAAGCCUGAUGCAGCGACGCCGCGUGGGGGAUGACGGCCUUCGGGUUGUAAACCUCUUUCGACAGGGACGAAGCUUUGGUGACGGUACCUGUAUAAGAAGCACCGGCUAACUACGUG